CACAAGCGGUGGAGCAUUGUGGUUUAAUUCGAUGCAACGCGAAGAACCGUUACCUGGGCUUGACAUCCCGGGAAUCCCUUGGAAACAAGGGAGUGCCCUUCGGGAACCUGGAGACAGGUGCUGCAUGGCUGUCGUCAGCUCGUGUCGUGAGAUGUAGGGUUAAGUCCCGCAACGAGCGCAACCCUUGUCUUUAAUUGCCAUCAUUGAGUUGGGCACUUUAAAGAGACUGCCGGUGAUAAACCGGAGGAAGGCGGGGAUGACGUCAAGUCCUCAUGGCCCUUACAUCCCGGGCUACACACGUGCUACAAUGGCUGGUACAAAGGGUUGCCAACCCGCGAGGGGGAGCUAAUCCCAUAAAGCCAGUCGUAGUCCGGAUCGUAGUCUGCAACUCGACUACGUGAAGUCGGAAUCGCUAGUAAUCGUGGAUCAGAAUGUCACGGUGAAUACGUUCCCGGGUCUU
rnacentral:rRNA from 1 species